CAGUAGCCGCGGGAAUACGAAGGGGGCUAGCGUUGUUCGGAUUUACUGGGCGUAAAGCGCACGUAGGCGGACUUUUAAGUCAGGGGUGAAAUCCCGGGGCUCAACCCCGGAACUGCCUUUGAUACUGGGAGUCUUGAGUUCGAGAGAGGUGAGUGGAAUUGCGAGUGUAGAGGUGAAAUUCGUAGAUAUUCGCAGGAACACCAGUGGCGAAGGCGGCUCACUGGCUCGAUACUGACGCUGAGGUGCGAAAGCGUGGGGAGCAAACAGGAUUAGAUACCCCCGUAGUCCCUGUCUCUUAUAC
rnacentral:rRNA from 1 species